UUAAAAACCGCACAACAGGAAUCACCAUAAAUAUUCAAUGAUAUAUUGAUUUUUUAAUUUUUAUGUUGAGUUGAGUAAAAUAAAUAAAUAAAUAUUUAACUUAAUAACAAAUAAAAACAAUUCUUGGAGAUGUGUCUGGAACAUAAUAGAUAUUCUUUUUGAUAAAAAUAAAUCUAGGCGCUUCUUAACAAAUCCAAUCCAUCAGUCUUCUAUUUUCAUCUUCAGGAAAGUUGAAACACUAAUAUUCAUACUCAGGGGUAAUACCCCCCUUGAGUAUGGCCGAUAUCCCCCCGAAGAAAAAACUUAUCAAAAUAAAAACGAAUUUUUGACUACCCCCUAGAUGUUGAAAUUGAAUCAACUAAAUUCAAAUGUCGAUUGCUAAAUUCGUAAGAAACAAGUUUUUACGAAUGCAAAAUAUAUAUUAAUGCUGGUUAGCCGUGGCGUUCAGACAACUUAUUGUCUACACGACAAUUUCAGAACUUCUCGUCAAUAUUUUCUUGCUGUCCCCCUAUCAGUUGAUGAUCGACGAUAGAGUGCUGAGCUAACAGUGUACUUUUUAUUCCAGGGUUUUCCCCUAUUCAAGACAACUUUGAUCGUGGGUUUCUCUAAUAAAUUAAUAGACACAACUGAUAUAUAUGUCUAUGCUCUCUUGUGAAACAUUUGAAUAAGAUUUUUGUUUUAAUUUGAGUAAUCGAAAAAUGGGUCAAAAAACCAAAGGAAAUAAUUACUCAGUCAAAAGCAAGGAUCUUCAAGAUUUGGAUCAUGCUAAAGCGAAAGCUUCAAAUAUUCCUGUUCAUUUUAAGAAUACUGUAGAAACCGCUAAUGCAAUUCGAAGAAUGACUGUUUCCAGAGCGUUAUCAUACUUAAAAAAUGUUAAGGCUCAUAAAGAAUGUGUUCCAUUCAAAAAAUUCAAAUGUGGAAUUGGAAGAAAAGCGCAAGCCAAACAAUUUGGUGUUGUAAAUGGAAGAUGGCCUGAAAAAUCCGCAGAAAUUGUAAUGCAAGUGUUGAAAAAUGCAAUUUCAAAUACAGAAUAUAGUAAUAAAGAUCCUGAGCAAUAUGUAAUCCAUCAUAUUCAAGUAAAUCAAGCUCCUACAACAACGAGACGUACUUAUAGAGCUCAUGGGCGUAUCAAUCCUUAUAUUCGCCAUUUGUGCCACAUUCAAGUAAUAAUAGGUACCAAAAAAAAUAACUGUGUCUUUUGAAUUUAGUAUUAUAUUAAAAUAUGUAGAUAAAUAAUAAGUUGCUUUAAUUGCUUAUGUUAUUAAAUAAAAUAUAAAAAUAA